CACGUAGGGCGCAAGCGUUGUCCGGAAUUAUUGGGCGUAAAGAGCUCGUAGGCGGUCUGUUACGUCUGCUGUGAAAACCCGGGGCUUAACCCUGGGCUUGCAGUGGAUACGGGCAGACUAGAGGCAAGUAGGGGAGAAUGGAAUUCCCGGUGUAGCGGUGAAAUGCGCAGAUAUCGGGAGGAACACCGGUGGCGAAGGCGGUUCUCUGGGCCUGACCUGACGCUGAGGAGCGAAAGCGUGGGGAGCGAACAGG
rnacentral:rRNA from 1 species